rnacentral:rRNA from 1 species
CGGACGGGUGAGUAACGCGUGGGGAACCUGCCCUGUACAGGGGGAUAACACUUAGAAAUAGGUGCUAAUACCGCAUAAGCGCACAGUAUCGCAUGAUACAGUGUGAAAAACUCCGGUGGUACAGGAUGGACCCGCGUCUGAUUAGCUGGUUGGCGGGGUAGCGGCCCACCAAGGCGACGAUCAGUAGCCGGCCUGAGAGGGUGAACGGCCACAUUGGGACUGAGACACGGCCCAAACUCCUACGGAAGGCAGCAG